GCGUUACUAUUCAAUGCUCCAGGAGACGAGAUGUUCACUUGUAGGCUGGUGAAUCUUCUCCCCUUGUCAAGUCAGGUGAGCAAGUGUGAUGUCAAAGAUUCUUAUUCCUAGACUGAUGCUUGAGUGUUGAGGGCUGCAGGGAUUUUGAAGAAGCUUGUUUGUAUAAGUCGUAGGCAGCAUCACAACGAGUUUAACUUCUGGAACGGGACUCCAUAUAAUUGCAAAGAUCAUCAGACUUUGGUGAAGUAUCUAUGGACUAAACAGCUCAGAAGGAUGAUUUCCAACAUCAGCAAGGGGAAGAG